CCUACGGGGGGCAGCAGUGAGGAAUAUUGGUCAAUGGACGAGAGUCUGAACCAGCCAAGUAGCGUGAAGGAUGACUGCCCUAUGGGUUGUAAACUUCUUUUAUAUGGGAAUAAAAUGUUCCACGUGUGGGAUUUUGUAUGUACCAUAUGAAUAAGGAUUGGCUAACUCCGUGCCAGCAGCCGCGGUAAUACGGAGGAUCCGAGCGUUAUCUGGAUUUGUUGGGUUUAAUGGGAGGGUAGGUGGAUGGUUAAGUCAGUUGUGAAAGUUUGCGGCGCAACCGUAAAAUGGCAGUUGAAACUGGCAGUCUUGAGUACAGUAGAGGUGGGCGGAAUUCGGGUGGUAGCGGUGAAAUGCUUAGAUAUCACGAAGAACUCCGAUUGCGAAGGCAGUUCACUGGACUGCAACUGACACUGAGGCUCGAAAGUGUGGGUAUCAAACAGGAUUAGAUACCCGAGUAGC
rnacentral:rRNA from 1 species